rnacentral:rRNA from 1 species
GGCCUACCAUGGUGGUAACGGGUAACGGGGUGUUAGGGCACGACACCGGAGAGGGAGCCUGAGAAACGGCUACCACAUCCAAGGAUGGCAGCAGGCGCGCAAAUUACCCAAUCCCGACACGGGGAGGUAGUGACAAUAAAUAACGAUACAGGGUUCUUUUGGAUCUUGUAAUUGGAAUGAGUACAAUUUAAAUCUCUUAACGAGGAACAAUUGGAGGGCAAGUCUGGUGCCAGCAGCCGCGGUAAUUCCAGCUCCAAUAGCGUAUAUUAAAGUUGUUGCAGUUAAAAAGCUCGUAGUUGAAUUUCGGGAUCAAUAUGUUGGUCGUGCCUUGGUACGUACUAGUUUAUUGGUUUCUCCCUUCUGACGAACCAUGAUGUCAUUAAUUUGGUGUCAUGUGGAACCAGAACUGUUACUUUGAAAAAAUUAGAGUGUUUAAAGCAGGCUCACGCUUGAAUACAUUAGCAUGGAAUAAUGAAAUAGGACGUUUGAUUCUAUUUUGUUGGUUUCUAGGAUUGACGUAAUGAUUAAUAGGGAUAGUUGGGGGCAUUAGUAUUCAAUUGUCAGAGGUGAAAUUCUUGGAUUUAUUGAAGACUAACUACUGCGAAAGCAUUUGCCAAGGAUGUUUUCAUUAAUCAAGAACGAAAGUUAGGGGAUCGAAGACGAUCAGAUACCGUCGUAGUCUUAACCAUAAACUAUGCCGACUAGGGAUCGGAUGAUGUUAAUUUAAUGACUCAUUCGGCGCCUUACG